GCGCGAGUGGUGGAACGGCAGACACGCCAGGUUUAGGUCCUGGUCCCUUCGGGGGUGGGGGUUCGAAUCCCCCCUCGCGCA
rnacentral:tRNA from 1 species